rnacentral:rRNA from 1 species
CAAUUUAAACAACGAAGAGUUUGAUCCUGGCUCAGGAUGAACGCUAGCGACAGGCUUAACACAUGCAAGUCGAGGGGCAGCGCA